rnacentral:tRNA from 2 species
GCCCACGUAGCUCAGGGGAUAGAGCGUCGGUUUCCUAAACCGCAGGUCGGAGGUUCGAAUCCUCCCGUGGGCACCC